rnacentral:Y_RNA from 1 species
GGCUAGUUGGAAUGCAGUGGUGUUUUCAAUUAAUUGAUCACAGCCAGUUACAGAUUUCUUGGUCCCACUGCUUCACUUGACUCAGCCUAAA